CCUGCUUGCUAUAUUCCCAGGGAAACUCCAAUGGAAUUAAGCCUCAGAGAUGUAAAAAGAGGAAAUAGAGGGCAGGGAGUGUGCCACAGAGUGUGACCAAAGCCUGCUGAGAAGUUGCAGGGAAGGCCUGCCUCCCAGCCAAAGUGGAGUGAAGGAGAACACAUGGAAAGAACAUUUGGGCCAGAGACUCCCUACUGCAAGUGGGGUUCAAGGACCAACUGCACCAGCAUCAUCAGAGAAAAAUUCAGAAUCUCAGGCCCUACCUUAGACUUCUGGAACCUGAAUCUCCAUUUUAA